rnacentral:lncRNA from 1 species
AAUUAAACAAUAUAUCAAUAUAUGAAAUGAAACACCAUCAACCAACAACAUAUACUUAUAAAUCUAAAUAUAUAAACUAAAAUAAAACCCUUAUGAGAGUGAUCUCACCAUAUUCACAUUCAUAUAAAAUUGACAACUGAAACAAUAGAUGAGAACUUAAUUAAGUUUUUAUUAAAAAGCUACUAAAUAAAAUCAACAACCUCCUCCACCACCGCCGCCGCAACCUCCUCCACCACCACCGGUGAUGGCGGCGCUGCCGGCGGCACUGCUGGCGGCGCCAGCUCCGCUUGUUUGUGGAGCGUCGUCGUCGCAGUCAGCACAAGCAGUGAUAAGCAGAGACAAAAGUGAAAUGGAUACAAGAAGCAUGCCUAGCACGUAGAUGAGCCCUGCACCCUCAAAUACUCCAUUUUCAAAUUCAACACCUAUAUUUCUCACCAUUUUCUUGAUCCUGCAAAAUGAAGAGGAUAACUCACACAGGCUUUUAUAUAGAUGGUUGCAUUUAUUUGGAUCCUAGUUGAUGUGUAUUUUUUUUUUAACUCGGUUCUGAUUCACUGAACGAUCUUUUUCUCUGAGAUGUGUUACAAAC